AAUUAGAAAGCGAACAUUUGCACCUAGUUUCGGCCUAGGCUUUGGUUUAUUAUUACCUCUAAUUU
rnacentral:tRNA from 1 species